rnacentral:ncRNA from 2 species
ACUUUAUCAAGAGUGGUGGAGGGACUGGCCCUAUGAAACCCGGCAACCGGCCAAUGACUUGGCGGCGGUGCCAACUCCUGCGGGACAAUGAUGUCCGAAAGAUGAGGU